GAUGAACGCUGGCGGCGUGCCUAACACAUGCAAGUCGAGCGAUUUACUUCGGUAAAGAGCGGCGGACGGGUGAGUAACGCGUGGGUAACCUGCCCUGUACACACGGAUAACAUACCGAAAGGUAUGCUAAUACGGGAUAAUAUGCUUUAGUCGCAUGGCUGAAGUAUCAAAGCUCCGGCGGUACAGGAUGGACCCGCGUCUGAUUAGCUAGUUGGUAAGGUAACGGCUUACCAAGGCGACGAUCAGUAGCCGACCUGAGAGGGUGAUCGGCCACAUUGGAACUGAGACACGGUCCAAACUCCUACGGGAGGCAGCAGUGGGGAAUAUUGCACAAUGGGCGAAAGCCUGAUGCAGCAACGCCGCGUGAGCGAUGAAGGCCUUCGGGUCGUAAAGCUCUGUCCUCAAGGAAGAUAAUGACGGUACUUGAGGAGGAAGCCCCGGCUAACUACGUGCCAGCCGCCGCCGUAA
rnacentral:rRNA from 1 species